ACGGGAGGCAGCAGUGGGGAAUAUUGCACAAUGGGGGAAACCCUGAUGCAGCGACGCCGCGUGAACGAUGAAGUAUUUCGGUAUGUAAGGUUCUAUCAGCAGGGAAGAUAAUGACGGUACCUGACUAAGAAGCACCGGCUAAAUACGUGCCAGCAGCCGCGGUAAUACGUAUGGUGCAAGCGUUAUCCGGAUUUACUGGGUGUAAAGGGAGCGCAGGCGGUACGGCAAGUCUGAUGUGAAAGCCCGGGGCUCAACCCCGGUACUGCAUUGGAAACUGUCGAACUAGAGUGUCGGAGGGGUAAGUGGAAUUCCUAGUGUAGCGGUGAAAUGCGUAGAUAUUAGGAGGAACACCAGUGGCGAAGGCGGCUUACUGGACGACAACUGACGCUGAGGCUCGAAAGCGUGGGGAGCAAACAGGAUUAGAUACCCUGGUA
rnacentral:rRNA from 1 species